UUAAUCCCAGCACUCGGGAGGCAGAGGCAGGUGGAUUUCUGAGUUCGAGGCCAGCCUGGUCAACAUGGCAAAUUCCAGGACAGCCAGGGCUACAUAGACUGUGUCUCAAAAAAAAUUUUUUCCCCACUGUUUACAGAAUUUCAACAUUUGAAUUUGGAUUGCUGAGAAGUGUGUACCAGCCAGCAUAACCUUUGCCCAACAGGCUAACAACUGGGAAGGGCGCCUACAGUUCAAAAUUUCACCACCAGAGGUCAGCAGACAUAAAAGACACUUGUCCCUGGCAAGAGGGCCUCCUCAGAUGACUAACAUUCACAGUAUGCCUCCAAAACCUCCUAAACUGUAGUAUUAUAAAAUAUAAAGGGAAGCCACAGGGUGUGCAGAAAGCAUGUCCAUAUGAACAGAGGGUCUGUGGCUUGUGUUGCCAUAGAGACAGGCAUGCAGCCUCAGUUCCCUCAGAGUAAGAAACCAGUCAUAGGUUAUCAUGUUCACACCUGUGAGCUUCAAAGCGCUGGUCAAAGGGGCCUGGUUCCUGCUCCUGUCUCUGUACUAGCUGCCUUUCUCAGAAUGAUCUAACUUAGAUCAGAGAUGAAGGUAGCAGCUCAUUGAGACAGGGCCUUUCUCCUGGGGAGCACGCAUGAGAGGAGGCAAUCUCUAUGAGGAAAGGACAGGGCUGGAGACAGCAUCGUCGUAUCCUUCCUUGGCCCUUCCGGAAGUCUGCAGGGCUGUGUUAGUAAGGUGUGGGAUGCUGCGCUUAGUUCCUGCUGUCCUCCUUCGACAGCCUCCAGAUCAGAUAAGUGAGGAUGUGGGCAAUUGAAGAUCAAAUGGCUUCUUUGGUCUGGAAUGUCUCUGGAGACCCUCUCCUCCAGAGUGGGAGCAGGGUAAGGAUGCAGCAGCAAGGCGAACGCCUCAGCCAAAGCCUCGGGUCAUUAUUUCUUUUGAAGACAGAAACAACCCAGAACCCAAGCACGGUGGCUCACUCCUGUAAUCUCAGCAUUUGGAAUUAAGAGGCAGGAAGACUGCUUCAAGUUGGAGGCCAUCUUGGGCUACACUGUCAAUCCCAGGCCAUCCUGGGCCUUGUCUCAAGGUGGCAGUGCAGGGAGCAGGGGGAACAACUGCAGUUGGAGAGAAAGAACCUGAGUUGGAAUCCCAAGCAGACAAAAAAAAAAAAAAAAAAUUGUGUGUGCCUGCACAUACAUAUAACCCAGGCUUAGAGGGUAAGUGUGCCCUGCUGUUUUUAUAGAAGAUCUUGAGUUCAGUUCGAAAACACGUGUAACUGCAGAGCUCCAGAGGAGUCAGCACUUUCUUCUCAGACACUGGCAUGCAUGUGCCUGCCACUUGCACACACAUAUACACAAAUCUCUCUCUGUGUGUGUCUGCCUUUCUCUCCCCAUGUGUGUGUGUGUGUGUGAGUGUGAAGAAAAUCUGAACUGGUGGUGGCACAAGCCUAUAAUCUCAGUUACUUGGCUGAGGUGGGAGGAUUAAAACUCCAAGGUCGGCUGGGAUACAGAAGGAGUUCAAGGCCAGCCUAGGCAACUUAAAAAACAACAAAGCCAGGCACAGUGGCAGAUGCCUUUAAUCCCUGGUCUUGACACAGGCAGUAGGGGUGUGUGUAUACAGGGCAACAGAGACAGAGGUCUGGAGAAGAAGAAAGAGAACAUGCUAGAGUAGAUGAGACUUGAGAAAGAAGAGAGAGAGAGAGAGAGAG
rnacentral:lncRNA from 1 species